rnacentral:misc_RNA from 1 species
GAUGAAGAACGUAGCGAAACGCGAUAAGUAAUGUGAAUUGCAGAAUCCAGUGAAUCAUCGAAUCUUUGAACGCACAUUGCGCCCCCUGGUAUUCCGGGGGGCAUGCCUGUCCGAGCGUCAUUGCUGCCCUCAAGCACGGCUUGUGUGUUGGGCCUCCGUCCUCCUCCCGGGGGACGGGCCCGAAAGGCAGCGGCGGCACCGCGUCCGGUCCUCGAGCGUAUGGGGCUUCGUCACCCGCUCUUGUAGGCCCGGCCGGCGCUUGCCGACACAUCAAUCUUUUUUCCAGGUUGACCUCGGAUCAGGUAGGGAUACCCGCUGAACUUAAGCAUAUAAUAAGCGGAGGA